rnacentral:rRNA from 1 species
GUGGGGAAUAUUGGACAAUGGGCGAAAGCCUGAUCCAGCAAUGCCGCGUGAGUGAUGAAGGCCUUAGGGUUGUAAAGCUCUUUUACCCGGGAAGAUAAUGACGGUACCGGGAGAAUAAGCCCCGGCUAACUCCGUGCCAGCAGCCGCGGUAAUACGGAGGGGGCUAGCGUUGUUCGGAAUUACUGGGCGUAAAGCGCACGUAGGCGGUUACUCAAGUCAGAGGUGAAAGCCUGGGGCUCAACUCCAGAACUGCCUUUGAAACUAGGUGACUUGAAUCAUGGAGAGGCGGGUGGAAUUCCGAGUGUAGAGGUGAAAUUCGUAGAUAUUCGGAAGAACACCAGUGGCGAAGGCGGCCCGCUGGACAUGUAUUGACGCUGAGGUGCGAAAGCGUGGGGAGCAAACAGG